GAUCAGAAGGGAGCAGACAGUCAGACCAGACAGGUUGACCUCUCCUGGAUCCUCCAGCCAUGCGGCUCCUCUGGGGGCUGGCCUGGGUGUUCGCCUUCUUUGCCUCAUCCCUGCAGAAGCCCAGGUUGCUCCUGUUUUCCCCUUCUGUGGUUAAUUUGGGGACUCCCCUGUCAGUGGGGGUACAGCUCGGUGGUUCCUGCUCCCCAAAGAAGGACUUUAAGCUGAGCUCCGGAGAUGACUUUGUGCUGCUCAGCCUUGAGGUCCCACUGGAAGAUGUGAGGAGCUGUGGCCUCUUUGACCUGCGCAGAGCCCCCCACAUCCAGCUGGUAGCUCAGUCUCCGUGGCUAAGGAACACAGCAUCCAAAGCCACAGAGACUCAGGGUGUCCACUUGCUCUUCUCUUCCCGACGAGGCCACAUCUUUGUGCAGACCGAUCAGCCUAUCUAUAAUCCAGGACAUCGGGUUCGAUAUCGGGUCUUUGCACUGGAUCAAAAGAUGCGCCCAUCCACUGAUUUCCUCACCAUCACAGUGGAGAACUCCCAUGGCCUCCGUGUACUCAAGAAGGAGAUAUUUGCUUCCACAUCCAUCUUCCAAGAUUCCUUCAUCAUUCCAGACAUCUCAGAGCCUGGGACCUGGAAGAUCUCAGCUAGGUUCUCAGAUGGACUGGAGUCCAAUAGGAGCACCCACUUUGAAGUGAAGAAGUAUGUCCUUCCCAACUUCGAGGUGAAGAUUACUCCUUGGAAGCCAUAUAUCCUGAUGGUGCCUAGCAACCGUGAUGAAAUCCAAUUAGACAUCCAGGCCAGGUACGUCUAUGGGAAGCCCGUGCAGGGCGUGGCAUACACACGGUUUGCACUCAUGGAUGAGCAAGGGCAGAGGACUUUCCUUCGGGGCCUAGAGACCCAGACCAAGUUGGUGGAAGGCCAGACUCACAUUUCCAUCUCAAAGGACCAGUUCCAGGCUGCCCUAGAUAAAAUCAAUAUUGGGGUCAGAGACCUGGAGGGGCUGCGUCUCUAUGCUGCUACAGCUGUCAUCGAGUCUCCAGGAGGAGAGAUGGAGGAGGCAGAACUCACGACCUGGCGCUUUGUAUCAUCUGCCUUCUCCUUGGAUCUCAGCCGCACUAAGCGACAUCUUGUGCCCGGAGCCCACUUCCUGCUGCAGGCGCUGGUCCAAGAAAUGUCAGGCUCUGAAGCCUCCAACGUUCCUGUUAAAGUCUCUGCCACAUUGGUGUCAGGUUCUGACUCCCAAGUCCUCGAUGUUCAACAGAGCACCAAUAGAAUUGGCCAAGUCAGCAUUUCCUUCCCCAUCCCACCAACCGUCACAGAACUUCGGCUCUUGGUGUCUGCGGGCUCCCUCUACCCAGCCAUAGCCAGGCUCACCGUGCAAGCCCCACCUUCAAGAGGCACUGGCUUUCUUUCUAUUGAGCCACGAGACCCUCGGUCCCCUCGUGUGGGGGACACCUUUAUCCUAAACCUUCAAGCUGUGGGAAUCCCUGCACCUACCUUCUCUCAUUACUACUACAUGAUCAUCUCUAGAGGCCAGAUCAUGGCUAUGAGUAGGGAGCCCCGGAGCUCCGUGACCUCUGUCUCCGUGUUGGUGGACCAUCAGCUGGCUCCCUCGUUCUACUUCGUGGCCUACUUCUAUCACCAAGGACACCCGGUGGCCAACUCUCUGCUCAUCAACAUCCAGUCUGGGGACUGUGAGGGCAAGGAGUAUCGUAAUGCGGAAAUGAUGAAGCUCCGAAUUCAAACUGACUCCAAAGCCCUGGUGGCACUGGGAGCUGUGGACACGGCUCUGUAUGCUGUGCGUGGUCGGUCUCACAAACCCCUCGACAUGAGCAAGGUCUUUGAAGUAAUCGACAGCUACAACCUUGGCUGUGGUCCUGGAGGUGGGGAUGAUGCCCUUCAGGUGUUCCAGGAUGCUGGUCUGGCCUUUUCUGAUGGUGAUCGACUAACUCAAACCAGAGAGGCAAAAGAGAAAUGUUAACUUCCAGAAGGCUGUCAGUGAGAAGUUGGGCCAGUAUUCUUCUCCAGACGCCAAGCGCUGCUGCCAAGACGGGAUGACGAAGCUGCCCAUGUCGCGUACCUGUGAGCAGCGGGCUGCCCGCGUGCCUCAGCAAGCCUGCCGUGAGCCCUUCUUGUCCUGUUGCAAGUUUGCUGAGAACCUUCGCAGGAACCAGACCAGGAGCCAGGCACACCUUGCCCGAGACAACCGGAACAUGCUGCAGGAAGAAGACUUGAUAGAUGAAGACGACAUUCUCGUGCGCACCUCCUUCCCAGAGAACUGGCUCUGGAGAGUGGAACCUGUAGACAGCUCCAAACUGUUGACAGUGUGGCUUCCUGAUUCUAUGACCACAUGGGAGAUUCAUGGUGUGAGCCUGUCCAAAAGCAAAGGCCUGUGUGUAGCCAAGCCAACUCGUGUUCGAGUGUUCAGAAAAUUCCACCUGCACCUGCGCCUGCCCAUCUCGGUCCGCCGCUUUGAGCAGCUUGAAUUACGGCCUGUUCUCUACAACUAUCUGAAUGAUGACGUGGCUAAGGAAGGAGCCAUCCACAGAGAAGAGUUAGUCUACAACCUCGACCCCCUAAAUAACCUCGGUCGGACUUUGGAGAUUCCUGGCAGCUCGGAUCCCAACAUCAUCCCUGACGGAGACUUCAGCAGCUUAGUCAGGGUUACAGCCUCGGAACCCUUGGAGACUCUGGGUUCUGAAGGAGCCUUGUCCCCAGGAGGUGUGGCCUCCCUCCUGAGGCUUCCCAGGGGCUGCGCAGAGCAAACCAUGAUCUAUUUGGCUCCUACCCUGACUGCUUCCAAAUACCUGGACAGGACAGAACAGUGGAGCAAACUGUCCCCUGAAACAAAGGACCAUGCUGUGGAUCUGAUCCAAAAAGGCUACAUGCGGAUCCAGCAGUUUCGGAAGAAUGAUGGCUCCUUUGGGGCGUGGUUACACCGGGACAGCAGCACCUGGCUGACGGCCUUUGUGCUGAAGAUUCUGAGUUUGGCCCAGGAAGAGGUGGGCAACUCCCCGGAGAAGCUGCAGGAGACGGCUAGCUGGCUGCUGGCCCAGCAGCUGGGCGAUGGCUCCUUCCACGACCCAUGUCCAGUCAUCCACAGAGCAAUGCAGGGGGGCUUGGUGGGGUCCGACGAGACGGUGGCACUGACCGCCUUUGUGGUCAUUGCACUUCACCACGGAUUGGACGUCUUCCAGGAUGAGGAUGCGAAGCAGCUGAAGAACAGAGUGGAAGCCUCCAUCACCAAGGCAAACUCGUUCUUGGGGCAGAAGGCAAGUGCUGGGCUGCUGGGUGCCCACGCCGCCGCCAUCACAGCCUAUGCCCUUACGCUGACCAAGGCCUCGGAGGACCUGCGGAAUGUUGCCCACAACAGCCUGAUGGCCAUGGCUGAGGAAACAGGGGAAAACCUCUACUGGGGCUUAGUCCUUGGCUCUCAGGACAACGUUGUGUUGCGCCCCGCAGCCCCCCGUAACUCAACAGAACCUGUACCCCAGGCCCCAGCCCUGUGGAUCGAAACCACAGCCUAUGCUCUGCUCCACCUGCUUCUGCGGGAGGGAAAGGGUAAAAUGGCUGACAAGGCUGCAUCCUGGCUUACCCACCAGGGAAAUUUCCACGGGGCAUUCCGCAGUACCCAGGACACUGUGGUCACCCUGGAUGCCCUGUCUGCCUACUGGAUCGCUUCGCACACCACCGAGGAGAAAGCACUGAACGUGACGCUCAGCUCCAUGGGCCGCAAUGGGCUUAAGACCCACGGGCUACACUUGAACAACCACCAAGUCAAGGGCCUAGAGGAGGAGCUGAAGGUGUCAAGGUGGAAGGAAACAGCAAAGGCACCUUGAAGAUCCUUCGUACCUACAAUGUCCUAGACACGAAGAACACCACGUGCCAGGAUCUUCAGAUAGAAGUGAAGGUCACAGGCGCUGUGGAAUACGCAUGGGAUGCCAAUGAAGACUACGAAGACUACUAUGACAUGCCAGCCGCAGAUGACCCCAGCGUCCCCUUGCAGCCUGUCACGCCCCUGCAGCUGUUUGAGGGUCGUCGGAGCCGCCGCAGGAGGGAGGCCCCCAAGGUGGUUGAAGAGCGGGAAUCCAAAGUUCAGUACACUGUGUGUAUCUGGCGAAAUGGCAAGCUGGGGCUGUCUGGUAUGGCCAUUGCAGACAUUACCCUCCUGAGUGGAUUCCACGUCCUGAGGGCCGACCUGGAGAAGCUGACCUCCCUCUCUGACCGUUAUGUGAGUCACUUUGAGACCGACGGGCCCCAUGUCCUGCUGUACUUUGACUCGGUCCCUACCACCCGGGAGUGUGUGGGCUUCGGAGCCUCGCAGGAGGUGGUUGUGGGACUGGUGCAGCCAGCCAGCGCUGUUCUGUACGACUACUACAGCCCUGAUCACAAGUGCUCUGUGUUUUAUGCUGCACCGACCAAGAGCCCGCUCCUGGCCACACUGUGCUCUGGAGAUGUAUGCCAGUGCGCCGAGGGGAAGUGCCCUCGACUGCUAAGGUCACUGGAGCGAGGGGUGGAGGACAAGGACGGCUACCGGAUGAGGUUCGCCUGCUAUUAUCCCCGAGUGGAGUAUGGCUUCACGGUUAAGGUUCUCCGAGAAGAUGGCAGAGCUGCCUUCCGCCUCUUUGAGACCAAGAUUACCCAAGUCCUGCAUUUCAGAAGGGACGCCAUGGCCUCCAUAGGUCAGACCCGCAACUUCCUGAGCAGGGCCUCUUGCCGCCUUCAUUUGGAGCCUAACAAAGAGUACUUGAUCAUGGGGAUGGACGGGGAAACCAGUGACAACAAGGGAGACCCCCAGUACUUGCUAGACUCAAAUACCUGGAUUGAGGAGAUGCCUUCGGAACACCUGUGCAAGAGCACCCGCCAGCGGGCAGCCUGUAACCAGCUCAAAGACUUCCUGAUGGAGUACAGCAGCCAGGGGUGCCAAGUGUGAGGCCUUAGGACUCUGGCUCCUUGAGCUCAGCUCAGGGUCAGGGCCUUGCUGGAUGAGGGGCUCUGCUCUAUAGGGUAAAUAAAAGAAAAGCUUUCUGACAGCC
ensembl:processed_transcript